AGUCGACGGGAAUCGUUAUUAAUGGAAAUAAGAUUUAUCUGAAAUAAGUUAAUAACAAUGAUUUUAGUGGCGGACUGGUGAGUAACACGUAAGCAACCUGCCUAUUAGAGGGGAAUAACAGUGAGAAAUCACUGCUAAUACCGCAUAAGCUGACGAUACCGCAUGGUAUAGUCAGAAAAGGAGAAAUCCGCUAAUAGAUGGGCUUGCGUCCGAUUAGCUAGUUGGUGGGGUAAAGGCCUACCAAGGCAACGAUCGGUAGCCGAGCUGAGAGGCUCAACGGCCACAUUGGGACUGAGAUACGGCCCAGACUCCUACGGGAGGCAGCAGUCGGGAAUAUUGCACAAUGGAGGAAACUCUGAUGCAGUGACACCGCGUAUAGGAAGAAGGUUUUCGGAUUGUAAACUAUUUUAGACAGGGAAGAAAAAAGACAGUACCUGUAGAAUAAGCUCCGGCUAACUACGUGCCAGCAGCCGCGGUAAUACGUAGGGAGCAAGCGUUAUCCGGAAUUAUUGGGUGUAAAGGGUGCGUAGACGGGACAGCAAGUUAGUUGUGAAAGCCCUCGGCUUAACUGAGGAACUGCAACUAAAACUAUUGUUCUUGAGUGCAGGAGAGGAAAGCGGAAUUCCUAGUGUAGCGGUGAAAUGCGUAGAUAUUAGGAGGAACACCAGUGGCGAAGGCGGCUUUCUGGACUGUAACUGACGUUGAGGCACGAAAGUGUGGGGAGCAAACAGGAUUAGAUACCCUGGUAGUCCACACUGUAAACGAUGGAUACUAGGUGUAGGAAAUGAUUUCAUUAUCUGUGCCGAAAGCAAACGCAAUAAG
rnacentral:rRNA from 1 species